CUUUUAAGGGAGACCAGUAAUCCGGUGGCCUUAGAAGCCUCCACCCUUGGUGCAAAUCCAAGUAAAAGUA
rnacentral:tRNA from 1 species